UGACGAGCUGGCGGACGGGUGAGUAAUGCUUGGGAACUUGCCUUUGCGAGGGGGAUAACAGUUGGAAACGACUGCUAAUACCGCAUAAUGUCUUCGGACCAAACGGGGCUUCGGCUCCGGCGCAAAGAGAGGCCCAAGUGAGAUUAGCUAGUUGGUAAGGUAACGGCUUACCAAGGCGACGAUCUCUAGCUGUUCUGAGAGGAAGAUCAGCCACACUGGGACUGAGACACGGCCCAGACUCCUACGGGAGGCAGCAGUGGGGAAUAUUGCACAAUGGGGGAAACCCUGAUGCAGCCAUGCCGCGUGUGUGAAGAAGGCCUUCGGGUUGUAAAGCACUUUCAGUUGUGAGGAAAAGUUAGUAGUUAAUACCUGCUAGCCGUGACGUUAACAACAGAAGAAGCACCGGCUAACUCCGUGCCAGCAGCCGCGGUAAUACGGAGGGUGCGAGCGUUAAUCGGAAUUACUGGGCGUAAAGCGCACGCAGGCGGUUUGUUAAGCUAGAUGUGAAAGCCCCGGGCUCAACCUGGGAUGGUCAUUUAGAACUGGCAGACUAGAGUCUUGGAGAGGGGAGUGGAAUUCCAGGUGUAGCGGUGAAAUGCGUAGAUAUCUGGAGGAACAUCAGUGGCGAAGGCGACUCCCUGGCCAAAGACUGACGCUCAUGUGCGAAAGUGUGGGUAGCGAACAGGAUUAGAUACCCUGGUAGUCCACACCGUAAACGCUGUCUACUAGCUGUGUGUGCCUUUAAGNCGUGCGUAGCGAAGCUNANCGCGCUAAGUAGACCGCCUGGGGAGUACG
rnacentral:rRNA from 1 species